rnacentral:lncRNA from 1 species
GAAACUAUUUAUGUCCUUAGGAAUUCAGCGUUUGCCAGGCACCAGCAACUUAAGAGCAGGCAUGGGAUUUUAUUUGCUAGUGAGUCAUAAUGAUAUGUUAGCGUUAAUUAGUUUUUUUCUUCCUUUGAUUUUAUUGGUCAUAAUUGUCAGUCUUCAUACACAGUAUAUCAAAGAGCUUUGUAAUUUAGCUGUCAAGUGUGCAAGAGUGACAUUACCCUAAAUGACACACAUUUGGGGCAAAUGCAGGGAUUGCAUUUAAUGCUUUCUACUGGAAGAUGCAGCCAUUUUCUUUGCUUUCUGUUUGGAGCACAUCGAAGACAUUCAUAAUUUAGUUGUCAAAAACAUGCACACGCUUAAGUAUUAUCUUAAAAACCCUUUUUGUUUUGUCAUUUGCAAACCAAUUGGUUCCUAAAGCACCGGUCCUUUCAUCCCCUUUAAUCUUUACAGAUGUCUGUGCACUAAUAAACAGCUAAGUUCCCACCGUCCUCCUGCUCCCCAGAGCAUGCUGGCACUGUUCGGUAGCCGUUUUCCCCACUCACUCUGUUAGUCAAUUGGCAGCACUGUAAAUACUGCCCAAUAUUAAAUUCCCCUUGCUAGGAUUGUAGGACAAUUUCAGAAGCAUUUGACUCAGGGCAUGAUUUAUAGCACAAUCUUCUCCCGACUCUCCUAAUCAGAUCAUAUUCUGAUAAACCUCAAGAACACCUGGCCACAGGAUUUCAAUAUGUAGAGUGUCCCCUGUGGCUGUUUGUUUCCCUCAGUGUGGAGACUGCAGUAUCCUCAACCCUGCUCUAGGGAUACUCUACUUUUAUUUUUGAGAAGGCCCAUUGCAAAUGCAGGCAUAUUCUUCAGGGAAAUUCACCCCAACGAAUGGGGGAUUUCCCCACUGCUCCCCCCAACCUCCCUCCCCGCCAGGGCUGGAGAAGUGCAAUACUUUUUUUUCUGUUCUGAAACCUGAAACCUGUUUCUAUAGGUCUUGCCAGCCUUCUGCACUGCACUGCAGGGACCAGUGACUGUGGCUGAUGAAAAUUGAUGAAUGGUGGGUGAGAGGUUAAGAAGUGUCUUGGGAUUAAUAAACAUGCACACAGAUGCCAGAGCAGCGGGGAAAGAUGUCUCUCAGGUGGAUAGGAAUUUAAUUUUGUCUCAAUGUGUUUUCACAUUGCAUGGAAAUAAAGAUUUUUUUGGGGGGUGGGGUGGGGUUGAAAAUAUGGGUUUCAUAUGAUUUCACACAGAUUUCGAAUUCUACACAGCUAAGAGGCAGGAUUGGAGGAAUAAGCCAGGGUCUUGCACAUACUAGGCAAAUGUAUAUUUGAGGAAUAUUCCCAGCUUUCUUUAAGCAAUUUUUGAGAUAAGGUCUCACUAUUUGCGCAGGUUGAUCUUGAAUUUGAGACUCUCCAAUGCCAGCCUUUGAGCAACUAGGAUGACAUAUGUGUGCCCACUUGACUAAUUUUGCAAGCAGUUCUUUGAUACACGUGUAUGCCUUUAGAUAUUGUAUGAUGGUUGUUCUAGUUUUCCUUUGUUAAGAUAUUUUAAGUCAAAGUUGAUACUUUGUAGCCAUUUAAAUUUUUUUUCUUUCUGUAACUAUCUAUGUAAGCAAAACCCAGAAUUAAUUAGUUCUGGGAGAUAAUUUGUGGGAUUGUGUUUCACUUUAUUAUUUUUUUUACAUAUAAUGAUACAUUUUGUUUAAUGGCUUCCAGGAGUCUACUUUUCCUGAGGAGAGGUUUAGAUACCAGGAUGCAUUGUACUAUUUGAUUUAAGGACCUGUAUUUCCAUGUUAAAUGUUUUCAAAUGGAAGAACAUGAGUUCGAAACUUCUUUUCAUAUUUGACUCUUUAGCAUUAUGAUUAUUUUCAUGAUUUUUGUGUUUAAGUAUUUGGAAUAAAAGUUUAAGGUCUGAAAAU